AAGCUUAGAGAUGGUGAAUUUACCCAGGUUCACACAGAUCUGAAUUGGGCAGGCCUGGCACCAAGGAUAGCUCUCAGACGUAGAUGUCCACUAGAGGCAACACUGUGUAGUGGUUCUGAAAGCAAGUGCCAAAGUCAAACUACCUGCUUGAGAAUCCCCAGCACACCUCUUUCUUCUUGUGCGACCAUUGGUGAAAUGGGAUUGACAGAAGAGACACAUCCAACCCUCCACUGCCUGCUCUUAUUAUCUUAGAUUGGCAAGUUUGAGACAUUGUAUGGCACCAUGUAAAAAAAAAUCAGUUGACAAAGACAGCUUGGUCUCAAAAAUACAGGCUACUUUUGCAUGUGGGAUAAGAACAAAAAGACUGCUGGCCACACUGGACAUCCUACACAUCUUGAUAGAAGAACCCAGCCAGUUUCUAAGAGAAGGUGUUGCUGGGUCUCAAAGGAACAAUUUUCUCAAGAUCUCCAGUCAAUCUGGGGCCCCCAAACACUGAAGCUCCUAUGCUCUAUGCCCAGAAAAACAAUAGGGAAACUUCUGACUACACCAUGAGGAUCGGCCAAUUUCUUCUUCCAGCCCACGCCUCUCUGUAUAGCUAUUUUUGGAUACCCUCAAUACCAACACAGGUGACCACCAUAUUCUAUACCUCAAUCUCAGUGUCAAUUAUUCCCAUUUCUAUGCUGGUAGCUCUAACUUAAGUUCUUAACUAUUUGUGGAUACUGCUCCCUAAAAAAUAUUCUCAGGUUAUUUGACUGACUAAUGCAAUGGUUCUGAAACCUGCAUGCACAGGAAAAUCGCCCUGGAGUCAUUUGUUAAAUAAAUAAAAAAUAUUUGCUGAGUCCCAUCUCUAGUGAUUCUGUUUUUAUUAAGUGCUCAAUAUAA